UACGUAGGGUGCGAGCGUUGUCCGGAAUUAUUGGGCGUAAAGGGCUCGUAGGCGGUUUGUCGCGUCGGGAGUGAAAUCCACUGGCUUAACUGGUGGCUUGCUUUCGAUACGGGCAGACUGGAGGUAUGCAGGGGAGACUGGAAUCCUGGUGUAGCGGUGAAAUGCGCAGAUAUCAGGAGGAACACCGGUGGCGAAGGCGGGUCUCUGGGCAAUAACUGACGCUGGAGGAGCGAAAAGCGUGGGGGAGCGAAACAGG
rnacentral:rRNA from 1 species